rnacentral:rRNA from 9 species
AACUUUCAACAACGGAUCUCUUGGUUCUGGCAUCGAUGAAGAACGCAGCGAAAUGCGAUAAGUAAUGUGAAUUGCAGAAUUCAGUGAAUCAUCGAAUCUUUGAACGCACAUUGCGCCCCCUGGCAUUCCGGGGGGCAUGCCUGUUCGAGCGUC